ensembl:miRNA microRNA 122
CAGAGCUGUGGAGUGUGACAAUGGUGUUUGUGUCCAAUCUAUCAAACGCCAUUAUCACACUAAAUAGCUACUGGUAG